GACGAACGCUGGCGGCGUGCCUAACACAUGCAAGUCGAGCGGAGAUGUACUGAAGAUUUAUCGGAUGUACAUCUUAGCGGCGGACGGGUGAGUAACGCGUGGGCAACCUGCCUUUCACUGGGGGAUAACACAGGGAAACCUGUGCUAAUACCGCAUGACAUCACGUAGGGCAUCCUAUGUGAUCAAAGGAGAGAUCCGGUGGAAGAUGGGCCCGCGUCCAAUUAGCUGGUUGGUGAGGUAAAGGCUCACCAAGGCGACGAUUGGUAGCCGAACUGAGAGGUUGAUCGGCCACAUUGGGACUGAGACACGGCCCAGACUCCUACGGGAGGCAGCAGUGGGGAAUAUUGCGCAACGGGGGGAACCCUGACGCAGCAACGCCGCGUGAAGGAAGAAGGUCUUCGGAUUGUAAACUUCUUUGAUGAGGGACGAAUAAAGUGACGGUACCUCAAAAACAAGCCACGGCUAACUACGUG
rnacentral:rRNA from 1 species